ensembl:lncRNA
AUAAAGUUUUCAAUAUAAAAUUUAGUUAAAUAUGUUUGUCAUUAGCAAUUAAGAUAUCGCAAAUUUAACUAGAAAUAUGAUGUAUGCCUUAUUGUUAAAGCCAGGGGUCAGUAAACUAAUACGUAAUAUUUGAAUGAGUUUCAAUGUUUUUCUGCAGAUUUUUUUUUAAUUUCAGAUCACAAGAACUGCUUUAAGUUAAAUAAGAACCCAGAAAGCAGAGACUUCUUCCAAAAGAAAUAAAACUUCAAAAAACAGAUGACAAAACAGAAACUUGCCUUCAAAAGGGCAUAAUAUAUUUUCUGAACAAUAUACAGUACCUUAUCUAAAUUGAAUAGUUUUAUCCUGCAACCAUUUAUGGAAGAGCAGAGUACAGAAUGAGCAUUGAAAGUUUGUAUAGCUCCUCUUCUCUUUCUCAUCUUCGCUUCAAACAGAAGAACAAAAAGCUGAGAGCAAUAAACUAGAGAGCUGAAAAAAUCUAGUGUAAAGAAGUAAUUCAAAGAACAAGGAAGAAAGAAAUACGAGAGGAGGAAGGGAACAAAGAGAGGACAAAGGAAGCAGAACAAGGGAAAGAAGUGUCCUAUCAUUCUAUAGGUAGUAUUGUGUGUCUACAUGUAAACCAGGUUGUUGGUGACUAACACAAUAGACUGUUCCUAGCAUGCUGAAAUUGUCACUUGACCACUUCAUUGUCCCUUAUGUUUUGCUUUCUCUGGUCCUAUUUUUUUCUUUCUUCCUUUUUCUUUCUGUCUAUAAUUCCUAUUUCCUGUCUACCAUCAUAAUAUUUAAAAGCCUCUGUCUACCCUUUGCUACCAAUUGCUAUUGUUUUUGCCUCACUACAGCUAAGCUCAUUGAGUUGCUUUGGAAAGAGCUCAAACUCCUAUCCAAACCUCUGGAGGAGGCACAACAAAGCAGAAAGAAACUGCAGCCAGCGGUGAGAGAAGCCUGGUCCAAAGGAAAUGUACAAAUCCUGUAUCAUUAUCAUUUGUGAUCGACACUAACACCAUGAGUAGUGUGCCAGUUACAACAUUAAAAAAGAAAAAAAAAGUACUGGCUGGAGGUUAGCUCUGUUAAUUUUCAGAACUGAAAAUGAGAUGAACAGCCUAAAGUGCGGAAAAAGGGAAGCUGCAGUGUCUCAGACACCUGCUUUUCUUAAUCCAGUAUCAUUUGGAAACAAAAAGUGCUACUUUCUCAGUCCAAUACUUAUCAACAAUUAGGAGCAGGUGACUAAUUUGAUGGCUGAAACUAAAUCUGGAGGCAAUCAUUCUUACACAGGCUGUCACAUAUUUCUCUUUUCUUCAGAUGCUGAUUUUCUAUGUCAUGCUGGUGUCCCAUGGCCCUUGUGAAGUUUGGCUCCCUGUUGUACUAUUCUUCCAGAAGCAGAGAAGUAGAAACAAUCUCUGUGCCAAAGAGCUUGCAAGUCUUGAUCAAUGCAGAAGGGAAACAUUCUGUCUCUAUACUUGCACAUCAUCAUUGCCUCAACAGGAUUCUGAUUCUUGAUAACUGUAAGAUAUGAUGCAGGCCAUAUUCAUUGUAAGGUGUAAUAUGGAGGGGGUCCAGUGAAGUGCCAUGACUAUAUGGAUCUGGAGCAUUGGUCUUAGAAGGUAAGAUUGAGACUAUUCAUCCUGGAGAAGAUGCAGAGGGGAUCAUUCCAAUGUGUUUAAAUACCUCAGUGUAGGGUGCAAAGAAGAUGGAUCCAGGCUCUUUUCAGUGUGUUUAGUGACAGGACAAGAGGCAAUGGGCAUACAAUCAGGGGGUUCCCUCUUAGUGUCAGAAAAAUUUUAUUGUGAAGGUAACUGUGUACUGGCACAGGUUGCCCAGAGAGUUUCUGGAGCCUUCUUCCUUGGAGAUCUUCCAAAGUCUGGACAUUGUUCUGGGCCAUCUGCAUGAAGUGACCCUUAUUUGAGCAAAGGUUUCGACCAGAUGACCUCUAGAAGUCCCUUCCAAACUCAGCCAUUUUUGUGAUUCUGUGAUCACAUAUAGAUGAGAGAAUUCCCUCCCAGCUGAUUUUUCACAGCAACAGAUACAUGAAGACAAAGCUACUGAACAUGAGCUUGCUGUACUUCAAGUAAACUAUUUCACUUUGUGCAAAGCAGCCAGACUUGUCAGAUUUAACCUUUCAUUGACAUUCACUCUAGGAUUCCUUCUUUUCAUUGUACUGCUCUGUGUGCAACUAACCAGAUUACUUGAGUCCUCCAGGUAAAAAUAGAUCAUUCUGCUUCUGUAUGUGCAUGAUUCACAAAACUCAGCAGAGGAACAAAGGAUAUAUGAUUGCUGAGAUGCAGAGGUACAUGUACUUAUGUUACAUCCUGAGUUCUGGCAACCUGCUAAAUAUAUAUUCUUCACCAGUCAGCACAUUAUUGCUAUGGUGAAAAACAGAAUUCCUUAAGAGGAAAGAGAGCAUGCAGUUAUUUGGGAAAUAGCGUACAUCCUAAAAUGUUAGAUGGUCCUCCUGGCAUUUGUGUUUAAGGACAGCCCUGGCUACCGUAUAUGUACAGUAUAUCCCAGUGGCUGACACCAACCCUGGAGAACAGGGGCACAACAAUAUGGUGAAACUGAUGCAUACAUUGUCAUUUUUUUUCUUUUUUCUUUCUUUCUUUCUUUUUUUCUCUCUCUCUCUUUUUUUUUUUUUUUUUUUUCAGAGGCAUAUUUAUCAUAGGUUCAGGCUAAUGUCAGAAUUAGAUGAUUUGAGUCACUUCAUUGUAAACUUUUAUUAUAGUAGUUAUAUUUUUAAACUCAUAGAAAGAAAAGUGAUAUAAUAAUUAUUAGGAGAGGCUGCCUUAUCCUUUUGUCAGGAUUCACAACAUAUGAUAUAGUGCUGUACUACAGAAAAGAUGAAAAUAUUUGCUCUUUCUUGAAAGACAGAGUUACAGUCAUACACAAUUACAUCUGAACAGAAUGUGAAAUCCAAGGUGAUCUUUAGGUGUCAUCUGCAUUUUUAUAUUGAUUUGCCUGAUUAUUUUUCAUUAUUUGAAACUACAGCAAAUAUCAAACUUUACAUCUUUUAUGUCCCCACAACUUUUACAGAAAAAAAAAAAAAAGGAAAAAGAAAAAUAUACAGAAAGGAGGAAAAUUUCUGGAUAUGGAAAGCUUUUAAAACUGAUUAUAUUUCUUUUGUUGGGAAAAGAUUUAAAAUGAAAAGGUCAGCAGUGUGUGUUUUUUCCUAAGCUCUUGAACUCUUAAUGGGUGUCAGUCUGAUUUUACCAUUUUUUGUUAAUACAGCAGUAAAGCAAAGGGAAGAACAAAGGUUAAUUCCAAAUAGCACUAUGUUGAAUUCUAUUCAUAAAAAAUAAGAUUAGGUUGUAUUAGAGAAGCCAUGUCUUUUUAGAAUAUAGCUUUCUGUUAAUUGCAAAUGUAUUCAAAUUUUUCUUUAAAACAGAAAUGGAUGUAGUGCUCAGAAUCACAUUAUGACCUUAAGCUUCCUUAGAAGUAAAGAAAUUAUCCAUCAUUUUCAGCUAUAAAGAAUUUCUAUAUUCAGUGCACCUGAGCUCCUUUUCUCUCCUUCAGGCUUUUGAAUCAUGAAGGAACAAGAGGAGGAAGUUUUUCACCCAGAGGGUGGUGACACACUGGAACAGGUUGCCCAAGGAGGUUGUGGAUGCCCCAUCCCUGGAGGCAUUCAAGGCCAGGCUGGAUGUGGCUGUGGGCAGCCUGGUCUGGUGGUUGGCAACCCUGCACAUAGCAGGGGGGUUGAAACUUGAUGAUCAUCGUGGUCCUUUUCAACCCAGGCCAUUCUAUGAUUCUAUGAUUCUAUGAUGAUUUUUUUUCCAGAAAUGAUUUCCUCUGAUGGAGGCAAGUACUUUGAAAGGAACCUGUUAAUAUUUCUGUGAUGUCUAAUCAACAGCUGGACUUCUAACAGUAUAGAUGUACCAUACAGAAAGUUGCACGUGGACUUCAAAACUCACAUUGUUCUAAAUGUCAUGAGAAUUUCACGAGAAAUGAAAAAAAAACAGCAAUGAGCGGAGUCAUUGCAAAGGUAUUUAGACACUGUGCACAAGGCAAGAGGCCAUCUUACUACCUUUAGGAGCAGAGUUUGAAGAUUUGGUUGUGUCUUGGCCAGUGCCAAGAAAAAAAGUGCAAUAAAAGGAUUGUGUUUAAAUCUGCAGAAACUGAGAUCCAGCCCAAAGCAAGACAGCGUGAAAAUAAGGAGCUGUGGAUCAAGCGGCUCACUGAGUGAGCUCGCCUGCCUGUUAGUCUUCACUGAAUGAAAACUGCUCACCUCACUGUGAAAGAUGCAGCACAAAGGCUUGAUGUAGACUUGGUUCCCUCAGUGUGACCUGUAUUACCUGAGCAGAAGGAUGUCUCAUUUCUGGAUUCUGAUCAUGCUUAGGGGUGCCAGAAGAUUCCCGUUUUUUUUCUGCUGGACACAUCUACAAAGCUGCUGUGGGAAGCUGGCUUAGGAUCUUCUGAGGACUAUAUGUGGCUCACAUCUAUGCCUCUUCUUGUCCUUUCAGAUCAACCUCUGUCACGUUGCUAGAAGUGACUUGUUCAAAAGGUGCCUUUCAUCUGCUUUGUGCUUGCUCACCUGUCCUUCAGGCUCAGAAAGCCUGCUGCAGG